CAGGUGUACGCGAGGACGGGGUAAACAACCAAACCAACCCUCUGCCUCCUCCCCUGCUCUCGCCGUCGCCCGCAGAACCCCACCCAAGCCCUCGCUCGCUCGUCGGGAUCCAAAGCGGCCGCGGCAGCCGGGAGCAGACGCGCGCGGGAGGAGUAGUUCGGGUCCGCGCCGCCGCCAUUUGCCUCGGCCACCACCGCCGUCCGCGCCGCCGCCCUUUGCCGUCGCCACCACCGCCGUCCCCGCCGCGGCCACCACCACCGUUCAAACUGCUCUCGGCCGUUGCCGGGGAUCCCGGCCACGCAGCAAAUCCAUCGCAAAGGAUCUCAAGGCCUGCCGCCCUGCCCGGCGCACCCAUCCAGAGGCACAUGUUCUCCACAGAUCCAUUGGAUCCCUUGCCGCCUCUCCUCCUCCUUUUUCAUCGUGGCUUGCCUUGGAUGCUAGAUUUUGCAAUUCCUCACCUGCAGUAUGGAAGUGCAUUUUGACAAUCACACGACAACCCUUAGCAAGCCUUUUGUGGAAACAUCGAGUACUGUUUAAGAUAUGUUGCCGACGGGAAACUAAUUAAUGUAUUUGGUCGAUGUACAGGGCUACGUAGUGGUUGCAGUCUUGUAUUGGCAAGUGAACAAUUGAGUGUUCAUUGGCAACAAAAACAAGUGAAUAAUAUCAUGCCAUAAUUUUGUGUUGCUUCCCAGGCCUGGGUAGAUGAUGUAUUGUACUCCCUCUAUUUCUAAAUAUAAGUCUUUUUAGAGAUUUCGAAUGGACUACCACGUAUGGAUGUAUAUAGACAUUUUAGAGCAUAGAUUCAUUCAUUUUGCUCCGUAUGUAGUCACUUGUUGUAAUCUCUAGAAAGGCCUAUAUUUAGGAACAGAGGGAGUACUUCUGCAUGGAAAUCUACAAAUUGAUUAUCUGCAUACUAUUUGAUUGUACUUCUCCAAGAUCUUAGCAUAUACCAUCUUAGUAACUUCGGAAACUUCCUAGUGGGACAUAAGUUUAGGAGUAUAAUUUAUCAUUGUACAAGUGCGUACUGAACCUUAAUAACAAUGGGAUUCUGUUAUUUCUUUUUCAAUUUACUUGCACUCGUCAAAAAUCUGGUGUAUAGAGCAGCACUGUUCGGUCUGCGCGGUCAUAUUAUUCUGAAUUUCAAGGAACAAAAAUGAUGUAUAUUUGGAGACGUAGGGGUUGAGGAACCUAAUGUUCUUGAAAAUUUUAAAUAUUGAAAUGGUUGCUUUGAUGCAGCAUAAGGCUUUUUCCUAAAGGGAUUGAGAUUACCAGGAUUCAGAUUGGAUCCCUGCUGUGUCAGUGCAGGAGAAUUGCUCGAAAGGCAUGACAUGACCGAUGCUGAUUACGCCCGAACUGCCCUCCUUUGACAUAAAAGAUUCCCGAGCCCCUCGACUGAAAUCCCGACUAAACUGCAAGUUUCCCUUCUUGAAAUUACUGCGUCUGAAGCUUCCAAUCUCGCCAACUUCGCCGGAGAACCGUGCGCCCGUGCUCGAGCAGAGGUACCAAUUUUCAGUACUGUUUUUAGGGGCUUCUACGUGAAUCCCAUGCAUGGCUUUGUGGCAUGCAAGACUUUCCUGCUAGACAAGCAAGAAAACAGAACCAUCACGCUUGCCCUACUGUAGCAGCCUUCAAAGCACGACAUAACGUGGGCUCUCAAUGUCAGUUCAUUAGCUGAGCUGAUUUCACAUGCUAACAUCAUGUAAUCUUUUUUCUACAUUGCACAUUUAUCAGUUGGAUUACAUCGUUGACUGCAGUUCAGAUCAUUAUCAUGUAUGUUGCUCCUUUGAAAGUUAGACUUCAUAAAGAAGCAAUUUGAUCCGACCACAAUACCUCUGAAUAGAUGCAUCAUGGAUUUGUGGGUUCACCAUCUUGGAAGGUGCAAUUCUGGUGAUGGUGUCAUAAUUGAUAAAUAUGUACAUUGCUUCAUAUGUUGGAUAGUUUUGGCGGCCUUCUGUGGUGAGGUAGACUUGACUGAUGAGGGCUUGAAAAGGGGCCUUGGUUGUCUGUUAACUGAAAACUCUGUUUGUGCACAACCUACAUCCUCUAUGAGAAGGAACUGGAUGGAGCAAGGUCUAUAUGCCUCAAAUUGCUUAAAGUUAUGCUAAGCUCACUUGAUUUACCCACUAGAGUAAACAAAAACUGGGUCUAGAACUACUGCAUGCGUAAUGCAACACUUCUUUUAUGUACUACCUCAAUGCGGGAGUGUGAAUUGUUGAUCCCACUAAGUCUGCAUUUGUUAAAACAUGGUGUUUUGGUAGGAGAUGACUGUCAACUCAUUCAACGGUUAGAGCAAAGUAAGGUAUGCAAAGAAGUUGGAUUUGCGACAAGUUUAUUUGGGAGUUUGGUUAUGCUCCAAUUUAAUAUACAUUUGCUGAACAUACAGUAUCACAUGAAUCCUUCUUCAGGUUAUUUCCAAAUGUCCAGUUUUAUGAGAGGAAGAUUAGCAUGGCGGCCAAGUUGAAGGUGCACUUCCACGCCGGCGGCCCGAGCUCGACGGCAAUCCGACGCAAGCGGCGUCCACCAGCAGCUCCUCCUCCAAGGACGGUGGGCCACGCGCAAGAGACCUACGUGCAGAUUUGCUGUUUCAUGUCAUUUAUUUGCUUAUUUCCCGUUUGGUCUUAAUUCAAGUUUUUGUUUGUAAUAGUUGUUCAUGGGAUGAAAUUUCCAAAUCACGUUGGUUUGUUUGCAUACCCAAAUUGUAAUAAUUAUAUUUUAUUACUUUUCAUCGUGGAUA